rnacentral:rRNA from 1 species
CUGGAAUGUUAAACUCAACAGAAGAUGCAGUAAUCAACAGUGUCUAAGACAGCAAAUAAUAGUAAACAGUAUACUGUUAACAGGAUCAAUUUGCGAACCCCGGGAAAGAAGGGGAUUAUUGCAAAAAUUGGCCUGGACACUGUUUCCGGCUGCUUUGCUAAUCCGUGCAAAUACAGGGAUUUGAGUGCAAAAUAGCGAAGGAUAAGGUUCCUUAUCCACCAUCUACUUUCUCUCCCGAGCGGUUCCUCAUGGGAUUAACCGCCGCCGGCCUUGCUGUCCCCGCGAGGGCUUCCUCGCCGGUGGAGAGGACCGCCGCCGCGUGCCGUUGGUGGCCUCGGGUGCUACCACGCCACGCGAGGUCUGUGGUCUAGGGCACGGCCGCCACGCCUAUGUGACAGUUCCGCCGGGAGGCGUCGCCGCGGAAACGGCCGAGGCGCGGGUGGCCAUAGGCUUACAUCGCUGCUCUGCCGGAGGUCUCUGCGCCGCAGGACUUGCUGUGUUGCCGCCGCUGCCACCGCGCGCAGACACGCCGGAGAGCGACGCUGUUGCGUCAUCGGCCGACAGUAGUAUGCCGCCACCCGCGCGCCUAGGCGGCCACGCCUCCGAGGAGCCCGGCCGGGAGCCAUGGCCAUAGGCACCACCGUCCUGGGAGCAGCGUCGAGGCCGCGCCGCUGGUCGGUAGCACCGCCCUCGCGGUGAGCGCCUCCGUCUCACGCCGAGAAAGAAGUCCAUGGCUGCACCAUGGGCGUCGCCACUGUUGCGGGCUGGGCACCGCUGUCACGACCUCCAGCCAGAGCCUCUGCGCGAUGGAGACCUGGCCGGGAGGGAUGUGUUGUGCCACAACCAAGAAGAUGUUGCUGUUCUUCUGGCUGUUGCUUGCCUGAAGACAAAUGCCAAAGGUACUAGUUCCUGACGAUAGCUUUUGUUGUUUGCAAAAAUAAAAUCGGAAAGUAGCACCUUGUUCAUGUGGUAAUUAGAUCAAGACUUUGCUAUCUGGUGGUUGCUUGAUCUCCCCUGACCCCGACUUGUCUAUUUCUCGAGGCCAAUCAAUCGAGACGAAGUAGUGCCCAUCGUCGGCGCCGCUGCUGGGAGAUCGGGACCGUUUCGCCGGCCGAAGGCGGGCACCGCCGCGCUAUGCCGAGACCCGAGAGUCACGGCCGAUGGCUGGGAGCGCGCGUGUCCCCUUGCGCUGUUCAGCGCCGGGUCCGGGCUCACCACGCCGCCGCUUGGGGCCGGUCUGAAGUUCGGCAGUUCGUCGGGGCUGCCUCCGCCUUGUCCUAUUGCUCUCUGUAAGAGCGUGCUGAUAACGUGUUGAAAACGAGAGACAAUCGAUAGUAAUGAAUGUUAUCCUUUCAUUAGAUGAUCCAAGUAUUUAUACAGAUGGAACAGACGUGAUCGAUCACAGGAGGCGUCUGUUCGGGGAAGAAGAAAAUCGACGCGACGGUUGCAAAUAUGGCAACUGCCUGCGGUUAGACAAGGGGAGAUUCCCCCAUAAUUAACACAUGUUAAUUAACUUUAGGGCACCUCUAGUCGCCGGCGCACCGGCCGAAUGUUUCGGCCGGUUUGCUCCCAGCCGCCCGAUCUAGUAUGCAACACCGGCAGAUCCAAGCUUUUCUUCUAUUUUUUUACCUUGUCCUCGUCUCCUUGAGCGCUCGCCGUGCCGAUCGCCCGUCGGGGCCGCCCCAUGCUCCGGCACUCAGCUCGCCCCGACCGCUCGCCGCCCUGGCCGCCGGUUGGAGCUGACCGCUCGCCGCCCGUCGGAGCGCCAUGGAUGCAGCUCCGCGACUCAGCUCGUCCAGUCCGCUCGUUGCCCCGGCCGCCCGUCGGAGCCGCCCCGCGCUCCGGGACUCAGCUCACCCCGACCGCUCGCAGCCCCCGCUGCUCAUCGGAGUGCCAUGGAUGCAGCUCCGCCUCACCGAUGAAUGGUUCCAGCAAAAAACAAAGAUGCCUCGUGGUAGCAUUUUCCC